GCCUACGGGAGGCAGCAGUGAGGAAUAUUGGUCAAUGGCCGAGAGGCUGAACCAGCCAAGUCGCGUGAGGGAAGACGGCCCUACGGGUUGUAAACCUCUUUUGUCGGGGAGCAAAGAGAGUCACGUGUGACUCAUUGAGAGUACCCGAAGAAAAAGCAUCGGCUAACUCCGUGCCAGCAGCCGCGGUAAUACGGAGGAUGCGAGCGUUAUCCGGAUUUAUUGGGUUUAAAGGGUGCGUAGGCGGUCGGAUAAGUUAGAGGUGAAAUCCCGAGGCUCAACUUCGGAAUUGCCUCUGAUACUGUUCG
rnacentral:rRNA from 1 species